rnacentral:rRNA from 1 species
AUUGAACGCUGGCGGCAGGCCUAACACAUGCAAGUCGAGCGGAAACGAGUUAUCUGAACCUUCGGGGAAUGAUAACGGCGUCGAGCGGCGGACGGGUGAGUAAUGCCUAGGAAAUUGCCCUGAUGUGGGGGAUAACCAUUGGGAACGAUGGCUAAUACCGCAUGAUGCCUACGGGCCAAAGAGGGGGACCUUCGGGCCUCUCGCGUCAGGAUAUGCCUAGGUGGGAUUAGCUAGUUGGUGAGGUAAGGGCUCACCAAGGCAACGAUCCCUAGCUGGUCUGAGAGGAUGAUCAGCCACACUGGAACUGAGACACGGUCCAGACUCCUACGGGAGGCAGCAGUGGGGAAUAUUGCACAAUGGGCGCAAGCCUGAUGCAGCCAUGCCGCGUGUAUGAAGAAGGCCUUCGGGUUGUAAAGUACUUUCAGCAGUGAGGAAGGCGGGUACGUUAAUAGCGUGCUCGUUUGACGUUAGCUGCAGAAGAAGCACCGGCUAACUCCGUGCCAGCAGCCGCGGUAAUACGGAGGGUGCGAGCGUUAAUCGGAAUUACUGGGCGUAAAGCGCAUGCAGGUGGUUUUGUUAAGUCAGAUGUGAAAGCUCGGGGCUCAACCUCGGAAUAGCAUUUGAAACUGGCAGACUAAUAGUACUGUAGAGGGGGGGUAGAAUUUUUGGUGUUACCGCAGAAAUGCGUAAACAUCUGAAGGAAAUACCG